rnacentral:rRNA from 1 species
GGACUACCCGGGUUUCUAAUCCUGUUUGCUCCCCACGCUUUCGCGCAUCAGCGUCAGAACCGGUCCAGGUAGCCGCCUUCGCCACUGGUGUUCCUCCCAAUAUCUACGCAUUUCACCGCUACACUGGGAAUUCCGCUACCCCCUCCCGGCCUCAAGCUCGGCAGUUUCAAAGGCAGUUCCUCAGUUGAGCCGAGGGAUUUCACCUUUGACUUACCAUGCCGCCUACGCGCCCUUUACGCCCAAUAAUUCCGAAUAACGCUCGCCCCCUCCGUAUUACCGCGGCUGCUGGCAC